AGUCGAACGAGAGAUGAGGAGCUUGCUCUUCAAAUCGAGUGGCGAACGGGUGAGUAACGCGUGAGGAACCUGCCUCAAAGAGGGGGACAACAGUUGGAAACGACUGCUAAUACCGCAUAAGCCCACGGCUCGGCAUCGAGCAGAGGGAAAAGGAGUAAUCCGCUUUGAGAUGGCCUCGCGUCCGAUUAGCUAGUUGGUGAGGUAACGGCCCACCAAGGCGACGAUCGGUAGCCGGACUGAGAGGUUGAACGGCCACAUUGGGACUGAGACACGGCCCAGACUCCUACGGGAGGCAGCAGUGGGGAAUAUUGCACAAUGGGGGAAACCCUGAUGCAGCGACGCCGCGUGGAGGAAGAAGGUCUUCGGAUUGUAAACUCCUGUUGUUGAGGAAGAUAAUGACGGUACUCAACAAGGAAGUGACGGCUAACUACGUGCCAGCAGCCGCGGUAAAACGUAGGUCACAAGCGUUGUCCGGAAUUACUGGGUGUAAAGGGAGCGCAGGCGGGAGAACAAGUUGGAAGUGAAAUCCAUGGGCUCAACCCAUGAACUGCUUUCAAAACUGUUUUUCUUGAGUAGUGCAGAGGUAGGCGGAAUUCCCGGUGUAGCGGUGGAAUGCGUAGAUAUCGG
rnacentral:rRNA from 1 species